rnacentral:rRNA from 1 species
UACGUAGGGACCAAGCGUUGUUCGGAUUUACUGGGCGUAAAGGGCGCGUAGGCGGCAGAUCAAGUCAGUUGUGAAAUCUCUGAGCUUAACUCAGAACUAUCAACUGAUACUGCUCUGCUAGAGUGCGGAAGGGGCAAUCGGAAUUCUUGGUGUAGCGGUGAAAUGCGUAGAUAUCAAGAGGAACACCUGAGGUGAAGACGGGUUGCUGGGCCGACACUGACGCUGAGUGCGCGAAAGCCAGGGGAGCAAACGGG